rnacentral:rRNA from 1 species
GCAGGUCCACAUCCGUGGUCUGCUCCUCUGAAAUGCAAUUAGUGGGUUAGUCCCCUAAUCUAUUGGUGUGAUAAUUAUCUACGCCGUGGAUUGGGAUGGCUGUUGAAGACCUGCUUCUAACCGUCCUUCUUGGACAAUUCUUGACAAUUUUGACCUCAAAUCAGGUAAGACUACCCGCUGAACUUAAGCAUAUCAAUAAGCGGAGGAAAAGAAACUAACAAGGAUUCCCCUAGUAACUGCGAGUGAAGCGGGAAAAGCUCAAAUUUAAAAUCUGGCGGUCUUUGGUCGUCCGAGUUGUAAUCUAGAGAAGUGUUACCCGUGCUGGACCGUGUAUAAGUCUCCUGGAAUGGAGCGUCAUAGAGGGUGAGAAUCCCGUCUUUGACACGGACUCCCGGUGCAUUGUGGUGCGCUCUCAAAGAGUCGAGUUGUUUGGGAAUGCAGCUCAAAAUGGGUGGUAAAUUCCAUCUAAAGCUAAAUAUUGGCGAGAGACCGAUAGCGAACAAGUACCGUGAGGGAAAGAUGAAAAGAACUUUGGAAAGAGAGUUAAACAGUACGUGAAAUUGCUGAAAGGGAAACGCUUGGAGUCAGUCGCGUUGACCGGAAAUCAACCUUGCUUUUGCUUGGUGUACUUUCUGGUUGACGGGCCAGCAUCAGUUUUGACCGGUGGAAAAAGUCCAAGGGAAUGUGGCAUCUCCGGAUGUGUUAUAGCCCUUGGUCGUAUACAUCGGUUGGAACUGAGGAAUUCAGCACGCCGCAAGGCCGGGUCUUGACCACGUCGC